UGGUUGUCGUCAGCUCGUGUCGUGAGAUGUUGGGUUAAGUCCCGCAACGAGCGCAACCCUUGAUCUUAGUUGCCAGCACUUCGGGUGGGCACUCUAAGGUGACUGCCGGUGACAAACCGGAGGAAGGUGGGGAUGACGUCAAAUCAUCAUGCCCCUUAUGACCUGGGCUACACACGUACUACAAUGGCCGGUACAACGGGCAGUGAAGCCGCGAGGUGGAACCAAUCCUAAAAAGCCGGUCUCAGUUCGGAUUGCAGGCUGCAACUCGCCUGCAUGAAGUCGGAAUUGCUAGUAAUCGCGGAUCAG
rnacentral:rRNA from 1 species